AUUCCCUCCCCAGUCCAGUAAACCAGCAGACUUUCAGCAGAAACAUUAGGACUUACUAUAUGAUUAACAGAGGAAUUGGAGCAGAAUUGCAGACCAACAAAUGAAGUGAGCUGAAGGCAAUUUGACCAAUGUUUUCUGUGUGAAUUCCACAGAGGCUGAUGAAGCAUGUUAUCAAUUCUCCAAGGUCCAGUGUCAAUACAAUAUGAAGAUGUGGCAUUUGAGAGGGUUUUCUUUUAAAAUGGAGGAACACCAUGAAGAAUGGAACAGAAGAACAGGAUCAAAGCCUGGAGAGUUGCCAGUUCCUUGCUGUAGGAUUGUAAUAGAACAGGCCAAGGAAGGUGACAACUUCAAGGCAUCGUUAAAAAGAGUCAAGAUGGUCAUGUGGGUAAGAUGUGGACUGGGAGCUGGCACCACCCCCAGCCCCGGCCUGACCCGACCCCAAGCCAACCCCUUCCCCAAAGUCCCUGUCCCAACUCCACUCCCUCCCUGCUCCUAAUGGACUCCUUCCCCAAAUCCCCGGUCCUUCCCCAAGCACACCACAUUCC
rnacentral:lncRNA from 1 species